GCAUUUCAAUAUUUUGCUUUCAUUGAAUUCAGGUUCCUGAUGACAUUCUAAUCGACAGAUGUGUUGGAAGACGGCUGGAUCCUGUUACUGGGAACAUUUACCAUGUAAAAUACUUCCCCCCGGAGAAUGAGGAGAUUUCUGCCCGACUUAUUACACGUUCUGACGAUACAUUUGAGAAGGUUAAAUCGCGUCUUGAUACAUACAAGCAAAAUUCUGAAGCUAUUCUUCCUACAUACUCAGAUGUGCUUAAGCAGAAUACAGAUCGAUGGAAAUCGCCCAGUUGAAGUCAUUUUUCAGGAGAUAGAUUCCCUAUUACAGAAGAUCUGUGAGAACACUUCAGCAAACAAGUUGACCCAAACAAAUGGAAGACCAUCUGAUUUUGUGGAUACAGGUUCAAAAAAUGAGUGGCGUGGAAUUCCGACAAGAUUGAAUAACAUUCCACAUUCCAGGGAAAUUAGGAAAUACUUCUACGAUGAUGUAUUACAUGCUACAAAACGUGCUAUUGAAGACAAAAAGACUCGGUUGCUGAUAGACAUCAACAUUCCUGAACUUAACCCUGAAAUGGAUGUUUACCGCAUAGGUACCCUUAUGGAACUUGUAAGAGAACUUUCUCUAUCCUUUGCUGAUGAUGGAAAACGUGUCAAGGUGUGUGUUCAAGGCUCCAUGGGGCAAGGUGCAUUUGCUGGCAUCCCACUUCAACUGGCAGGAACCAGAAAAUUUUUAGAAUUCAUGGACUGGGGUGACUAUGGGGCGAAGGGUACCUUCAUUAAUAUUGGAGCAGUAGGUGCUAGCGAGGUUGACAAACAAGAUGAUAUGUUUAUCCUCAUUGCUCCUCAAAAUGCUGUUGGAAACUGCAUAAUUGAUGAUAUGAGAGCUAUGACUGAUGCUGCUGGUGACAGACCUGUGAUUCUUGUAAACCCUCGCCUAAAGGAUAUGCCUGGAUCAAGUGGUGUAAUGCAAACAAUGGGAAGAGACAUGAGGCUAAAGUAUGCUGCAUCAUUCGAGACCUGCUAUUCAUUUCGGCUUCUCUACUAUGCUGGCUCAUUCUAUCCUAUCAUGGGAGCUUUAAGGAUGGCUUAUCCAAAUAAAUAUGAGAUUUAUCGAAGGGUUGAUGAGCCCAAUGGGAAAGAGAAAUAUGUUCUUAUAGCUGAAUUCACAGACAAGCCAACUCCUGAUGACAUUACAAGUGCUUUCAAAGGACGAAAAAAGCACCAAAAAGGAAAUGAGCAGCAUCAGCAAAGAUAUCUACUCGUUGUCGUCCUCCUCGGUGUCAUCCUCCUCCUCGUCAUCAUGCUCAUGGUACUGCGGCAGAAUUUCCUCCUCAGUGUCAUCGUCAUCACCGUGGGUGUGACGGGAACGGUGUGAAGCGGCACGAGUCCUUGGAGCAGGAGCAUGAGGGGCAGGAUCAACAUUAGCUUGAGCAACUUGAGUUUCUUGAGCAUCUCUUUCAGCAAACGGAUCAUCAAAAUCUGGAAGCUCAUGAUAGAGUGCAGUACCCUCUUGAUCAUGGAUCUGUUACCAUGCCGGCGAGAAGAACUAGGAGCAUCUGAAGGUGCUCGAUAUGGAAUAGGAAUAGGAGGAUCAUCGACAACAGGAGCAGAACUAGAAGAACUCCGAUGCCUAGAAGAUGGAAGUGCAUCUGCAUCACGAGAACUAAGGGAUGAGGAAAAGGCAUCUUCGGGAUUCUGGGGUUUCUUAAGUGGUAUAUUGUGAGGCAAGUGGUCUACUAUAAAAUGACGCCAUCCAUCUUUCUUGGUAUUAUUUCUAUCAAAGCUCAGAAUUGAAUGGAAGAAGCAAAUAUGAAACCUUUACCUUUUCCAAUCUGAUACAUCAGCUAAGAAUGGCAUUGUUGAUCCGUAGGUUUUGUAUGCUUUCCCCAUUCAGCCUUUUUUAGUGCAUCAUCGAUUUCCCCGUUCCUUAGAUUUUUUUUGGAGAAAAGGAGUAUUCCCGCUUUAUUUCAAGGAAACAGAGCAUAAGGUCCAAGUUAUUCAGUAUAUAUAUACAAGGAGCAGCAUGCACUAUUUGCCGUCAUAUGGAUAGUCUGAUUGGCCGACCAAUAUAUUUCCUAAUUGGAUGAAAAUUCGAUUAUAGAAGAUGUAUAUGUACACAUGGAGCCGCAUGCACUCCUAUGGAUAGCUUAUUGGAUAGCCAAUACAUUUCCUAAUUGGAUGGGAUUAAGAUUACAGAAGUUACCACCCAAACAUAGCCGGCAAAUACAUUUUCUAAUCGAGUUGAAUCAAUUAUAAGGAUUCAUUGGCCGGCCAAUACCUUUCAAAAUUGAGUUGAAUCAAUUUGGGUGAUUGAUAGGCCGAUCAAUAUUUUUUUAGGUGUAUUGGAGUACUGUAUCUGUAUUGGAUUACUAAUAUAAGCUAAUAAGAAUGAAAAAGUUAUUUUCCUUCUAAACAUAGCCGCCCAUUACAGUUCCAAUUAAAUUGGUGCAAUCUUUAGAAUACUAUAAUAUGAAUUUAUUUCCCCCACAUGCAUAGCUAUCUUUAUAUCUAUAUAUAUACUUUAAGAGGCUUUGGGGUUCUUGCCCCUAUUUCGAAGUGAAAUGGUGAUUUUCCUUAUAUUUUUUGAACUUUGUGAAUUUGCCCCUGCUUUUUGAAAAUGAAGGUAGAGUUUGUCCCUAUUCCAUAAAAGGUAGUUUAUGGUGUUAAAAUUCUUUGAAAAGACCAAUUUGCCCUUGUGGAUUUGCCCCUACUAUUAUCUAAUUUUGGUGAUUUACCCCUGUUUUGAAUAGAAUAACAUUUUGAUUGGUCUUAAAUGAACUUUCUCUAGCAAAUUGAAACCAGAUUUUUAUGACUUGCAAAAAUGACCAAAAUUUGAUAAACUUUUCAAAAUUUUGGCAGCAAUAUGACACAACAUGAUAAGUUCAAGUUCACAUAACUUGCAUAACAUACGUAUAUAUGUCCACAAAAGUAACAUAUCACAUUCCAUCAUGUCCAAACAGAGGCACCAUCAUAUUCAUAUCAGAUUCCAAAACUCAAGUCCAACAAAAGGCAAAGUUUUGGAGAGGUUAUAGAGGUCAAAUGAAAAGCAUCACAUCUGAGAAUCUAUGCCGAAUAAUGCGGCCAAACUUUUUGUGGCUCUUCCUCCUCCUCCCCUUCCCCUACCUAGUCCAGUUGUUGCCCCUGCCGUUUUCCCUCCUCUUUCCGGCCCUCUUCCCCUACUUGUAGUUGCACUUGAAGGUAGUAAAAUCUUCGAUAAUAUUCGUGGCGGGGGAGGCGCCGGGGCAGCUUGGACACGUCGGGUUGGCUAGCACCAAUCUCUGGCCCCUGCAAUGCCGAUCGGUUGGCUAGCGCCGUAUUGGAACAUGCGAUCCUUGCAUCUCAAUCGUUGGGCUCGCGUUGCGUUGCCGAACAAUCAGGUGCCUGCCUAGUUCUGCGCUUCGCCUGUUGGUGCAGUGUCUCCAAACUGCACGGACACUACAACAGUCUCGGAGAGCGCGUUAGGUGAAGAUGCAAGAGCACAAUGAAGAAGUUGUGGUCUUCAGACUGGUGUCCGGCUUUCUCACUCUUUGUUUUCAAUGUCCCAUCAAUGAUUGUUACAUGGGUAUUUAUUAGGGCGUUGUUCACCUCCCUUGGCUGAUUACGAUCCAAAACUCUUACAACGGCCAUAUUCCUGGAAUAUUCUAGGGGCAUAGGGUAAUUUCCCUCCUCAUUUCCCUAAGUGGAUUACAGCUCAUCUUGGACCCUCCUGUCAGACGACCUCGAUGUUGGCGGCCAAAACUGGCAAAUACUGUGGCCGAUUGGUCUGACCGGUUGGGCCGAUAGGUCGGACCUUGGCGGCCAAAAUUGGCCAAUACUGUGGCCGAUUGGUCUGACCGGUUAGGCCGACAGGUCAGACCGGUCUAGGCCUAUAAUCUGAGUCUGGUUAGGGUUUUAGAUUUGGAGUCCUUUUGUAACCCGAUUUGGAAGGGGUACAUCCUCCCCGGCCUAUAAAUAUAAAGGCUACGGCCGAUUGAGGGUUUUCUAAACACAAUCGAAUCAAAACAAUUCUAUUUACACUAUUUUCCAAACCCUAGCUUUUUCAACCCCUUUGAUGUUCUUUGCUCGUCUCUACAGCAUUCAAGGGCGUCUUGGGUGGCCUGCCGACCUCAAGACAACCCUAGUUCUUCAAGCUCCGACAGGGUCUCUCCCGAGCUUGAGCUUCUAGGUCUAUGCAUACUUCUGCUUCCAACCGGUCAGUUCGGUCGGUCUGACCGGUUGCUGCCUGAAGUUCGCUGGUGAUUGAUCACUGCGAUCCACCCAUACUAGCGCAUUGGUGUGUUGACCGAAUUAGCGUCAACAUACUUUUUGGCGACUCCGCUGGGGAAGAAGCAAUCUACACCGGUUCCCAUUAUCUCAAGGUUGUGAAUGCCCAGCCCCCAUAGAUCGAUAGAUCUCAUAACCUUUUCCUAGGAUACUAAACAAUUGCCGCCAUUGGCUUGUUUCCUGCCCGUCCAAAGAAAUCCUCUUCUUGUUUUAUCAAGAGCUCGCAAGAACCACUUGGGAACUUUUAUGGCGACCAGCAAAUGGAUGGGAAUUGCUGUGAGCACGAAGCGUACAAGCACUGUUCGACCAGCCAAGGAUAUCUUUUGUGAGCUGGAGAUCUUCAGCAUUUGAACUGAUAAAGAGUGCCACAUCGUCAGCAUAGAGAGAGAGUCUCUGCCCGGUGGAAUGCAAAGGUGAUAGCAGUCCUUCAGCAUCAGCCUUGAUAAACAAACUGCUUAUGUGUAUAUAAGCUCAUUAUUAGCAAUCAAGUGAGACACCAAAAUUGAUAUGUGAUUCUAGGUAUCUCUUUAGUAUUUUCAGUACUACAUUGAGUAUGGGUUAAGCUCCUAUUACUUUUUCUGAAUUCUGGAGACAAUUUUAUGUUGUUACAAACUUAUUCAA